rnacentral:rRNA from 1 species
UGAGAUUAGCGGCGGACGGGUGAGUAACACGUGGGCAACCUGCCUAUAAGACUGGGAUAACUUCGGGAAACCGGAGCUAAUACCGGAUACGUUCUUUUCUCGCAUGAGAGAAGAUGGAAAGACGGUUUCGGCUGUCACUUAUAGAUGGGCCCGCGGCGCAUUAGCUAGUUGGUGAGGUAAUGGCUCACCAAGGCGACGAUGCGUAGCCGACCUGAGAGGGUGAUCGGCCACACUGGGACUGAGACACGGCCCAGACUCCUACGGGAGGCAGCAGUAGGGAAUCUUCCGCAAUGGACGAAAGUCUGACGGAGCAACGCCGCGUGAACGAAGAAGGCCUUCGGGUCGUAAAGUUCUGUUGUUAGGGAAGAACAAGUACCAGAGUAACUGCUGGUACCUUGACGGUACCUAACCAGAAAGCCACGGCUAACUACGUGCCAGCAGCCGCGGUAAUACGUAGGUGGCAAGCGUUGUCCGGAAUUAUUGGGCGUAAAGCGCGCGCA